rnacentral:lncRNA from 1 species
ACAACUAUAUAGUUAAUAUUAUUAGUGUUGGGAAAGUAUUGGCUCCCUUUCUGAUGUUUCUCUGGCAAUUGUUGAUACUGAAUGUUAUCAAGUCUUCAACCAAAACACUGAUUAGAUAAAGGGAACCUGACUUACAAUAAUAAACCAACUGAGAAAAUCAGAAAAUGGGCAAAUACACACACUGUUUUAUACAAACAUACUAUUGAGUUGAUUUGUGAUUGGUUAAAUAGUACAUCUACCAGGGCAUAAUGUGCAGUGUGAUUGGUUGGGGACUCCCCUGCAUAAUGUGCAGUGUGAUUGGUUGGGGACUCCCCUGCAUAAUGUGCAUGUGAUUGGUUAAUAGUCAUUACAUGCUAAUGGCAUGGUGGCUGGGGACCCAUGCAUAUGUGCAGUGUGAUUGGUUGGACUCCCCUGCAUAAUGUGCAGUGUGAUUGGUUGGGACU